rnacentral:tRNA from 1 species
UCCCUGGUAGCCUGGUGGUUAAGACCCUGCACUUCCACUGCAGGAAGCAUGAGUUCAAUCCCCAGUCAGGGAC